AUCCUUAUUCAAUUCUUGAAUGGUUCCACAUAAAAAUAACUAAAGAUGGGCCUCCAGUCUUAUGACGCCACAAAGCACCCUGACGCCACUGAACACGAAAACUCAUUGCAGAGUUUUGUUGUAUGAAAGAUGUUUGUGAUGUUUGCGAUUGGAUGACUCAAGUCUUUGUCAUGGAGAC
rnacentral:lncRNA from 1 species